rnacentral:rRNA from 1 species
UACGAAGGGGGCUAGCGUUGCUCGGAAUCACUGGGCGUAAAGGGUGCGUAGGCGGGUUCUUUAAGUCAGGGGUGAAAUCCUGGAGCUCAACUCCAGAACUGCCUUUGAUACUGAAGAUCUUGAGUUCGGGAGAGGUGAGUGGAACUGCGAGUGUAGAGGUGAAAUUCGUAAAUAUUCGCAAGAACACCAGUGGCGAAGGCGGCUCACUGGCCCGAUACUGACGCUGAGGCACGAAAGCGUGGGGAGCAAACAGGG